rnacentral:misc_RNA from 1 species
UUUCAACGCGAGCAGCCAGCGCAAGCAUUCCGAGAGUCAUGACUAUGAUCAGCGCUAUCGCCGUCCAAUGAAGUUUGCCAAUCGGCUCGACGUGCCUGUCCUUGUCCGAUACGGCCAUGUCAUCACCUCGAAAAUCGACACCUCGAAUUCGCGUGAUUCCUGACAGACUCCCCAAUCCUUCACCAUUUGGAAGUUACGUGGGCAG